GGAAGUAUGACACUUGAGGCCCUCAACAGAUAUGCCCCACUGGGGACCUAGCACCACCAGUAGGCUCCACAGUGGGAGCUAAGGAGUCUCCACCUGGGCUUCCUGCUCCAAUGAGGUGGGGGAAAGAAGCUAUCCUAAAUUCUUCCACUUUCCAAGAAGAGGAAGAAGCAGCUUAUGCUGUUCACUGCACCCCCGGCACCCACCCAUGCAGAGGAGUGGAAGAAAAACAGUUCUCAGACAUCGCUCUCCCACAGAAGAAGGAUGAAAUUGCUCUUAGUGUGUGGAACAGACUGGCCUGCUACUUCCCAAAAGACAUCUCCUCCUGAGGACUUCCAAUAAGACCACUCCUGCUGCUGGGGGGUAUAUUUUUCAUUUGCUUAGAAACACUGGACCAAAACUCUCAAACUUGGAUGUUGACAUUAGCUACCUAUAGCUACAGCUGAGCAACUAAAUACAAGUGACCUGAUAUUUCGGGAGUGCUGCAGACUCACUUAUCUUCUUGAUUUCCAUGGAGUUACUCCUGGUAAGGAAGGCACAGGAAGAUAUGAAGGACUAAAUAGAACUGGACAAUUCCCAAGCUAUAGAAAGUUACUGAUGACUUUAACUCCCUGGCAAAUGACCAAGGACCACAUCUGCUCAUUCAGCAUUUCCACCCUAAUCAGUUCCACAUUACCUGUCUAAGGUGGAACUUUGAGUUUUCUCUUAUUUCUGUUGCCUGUUUGUGUUCAUUACAUCCUCAAACCAAUGUGUAUUUUGUAUUAUCACCCUGUCUGUGGCAGUGAUGGGAGAACCUACCGGAACAAGUGUGAGCUCUGCAGUUACUGCAGGGAACAUGGCAAGAAUAUAAAGAUUGUAAAGGAAGGAGCAUGUUAAAGAUUGAAGAUACCACCAUCUGUCUUGUCUUGCACACCCUGGAAUCCUUAAGGCUUAUUAAUUUUUAAUCCUGCCAUGGUGCCAAGGGGCCAACUAGAUUUCCUUUUGAGGUUCCUACAUU